rnacentral:lncRNA from 1 species
UAUUACCAAUAAAAAUUUACAUUACAAAAUGGUUCAUAAAAGUUCUAUAACAAAUUUACCAAACUACAAAAUUUAAUUACCAAGCUAUCACUAAAUUUAAUGACUUGUCCACACAAUAUAAUAUCAGUAUAUCUUACAAAAGUCCUCCCGUCACGUCGAAAGCUAUUUUUAUCUAUAUAUAAAAAACUGUAUGUAAACCUCAAUCAAAGGAAAUCCUAGACCAAUUUCAUAUCUCCGUCUGCACAGGUCGGAACCACUGAAAAUACAGUUAGUUCUCCGUAGUUUCUUUACAGAUCAAUAUAUACGUUUCUUUUUAUGGAAAACACCAAGUUUAUUUAGCAAAAUUUUCAAUCUGUAUCCUUCAUCAAAUAUAUUCUAUAU